rnacentral:snRNA from 1 species
GUACACAUAUACUAAAAUUGGAACGAUACAGAGAAGAUUAGCAUGGCCCCUGCACCAAUAGAACUAUUACUUAUAAAGAUUCUAAAUAUCACU